GUUGGCUGCACUGAGGGUGGGUGUUGUAGUGUGCUAAAGGAAGAUGGCAGUGCUGUGUGGUGCUGCCCAUAGGAAACUCAGAGUGAAGCAAUAAUUUACUUGAUGAACAUGAAAAAAGCUACGCCCACGUCUGAGGUGGAACCACAGCUGUCUCUAUAUUUAAAGUAUAUGUGAUUGCAAGUGGAUCCAUUCUGCCAUGAACAAGCACAAUGGGGUAUCAGAGAGCAAGAAGUUGCUCAGCUGUGGCUGAGUGACUCACAAGAGCUGGGAUAAAAAGUUCCAGACCAGAAGGGGUUGUGGCAAAUUGAGCUGACUUGGAAAAAUGGAAGAUAUUUUUAUGGAUGGAAUGAAGAGCUUCUGCCCAACUUCAGCAAAGCAGGUGAUGCAGAGAUUGAUGAAACAACUGAAAGAUGGAUAAAGUGUGAUUCAAGGAGAAACCUGUACUGAUAGGAAAUUACUGGUGUUCUGCAGUGUUCAUCUUAUUUACUUUUGUCAUUCAACAGUCUUGGCACACUGAAUUAUGCUAUGUUACGAGGUUAGGAGGCAAUGCUAACAUGACAGAGGUGCAGGUUGUUGUACAAGAGUUAGACUGGAGCAUCUGAAACAGGAUCACUUUUUAUACAUUCCCAGUGCAAGGCUAUAGUUAAGGGAAUCUGUUCUGCUGAGGGCAUUGGAAGAGAAACCAGGGGCAGCUGGUCACCAGAAAAUGAGCAUGAAGAUAAUUGAUUAUAUAAUGUCUCAGUGCUGUUGUGGAGCACCUGACAUCCACUUGUGGAAUAUGUGUAUGCUUCUGGUGAAAUCUUCCCAGCAAAAGGUGUGGAAAUAUUUCUGCUGUUUAAAGGAUGUGAAUUACGCCUUGUCUUGAGUACCAUCUGUAGUUCUGAUUGCUCAGCUUCAAAAUAAAUUAAACCAGUUAAAGGAUUACAGUACACUGCCAGUGCCUAAAUUGGCCUGCAAGAGAGCUGGAGGACUUUGUAGAAGGACCUGUAAUGACAGGACAAAAAGUGAUAGUUUUGAAGUGAAAGAGGGUAGAUGUAGAUUAGAUAUAAGGAAGGAAUUCUUCACUGUGAGGGUGGUGAGACACUGGCACAGGUUGCCCAGAGAAAUUGUGGAUGCCCCGUCACUGGAAGUGUUCAAGGCCAGGUUGCAUGGGGUUUUGAUCAACCUGGCCUGAAGAAAGGUGUCCCUACCUGUGUCAGAGGGGUUGAAACUAGAUGAUCUUUCAGGUCUCUUCUGACCCAAACCACUCUGUUUUAUUAUUAUUGGGAUGAUUGUGGAAAUUGAAAGCAUUCUUAUCAGAAAAUACUUAGAAAACUGUGUUUUUUCUAGCAAAGUAAGUCUGAUUUGAGAAAGUAUGUAAUUGCUCUUAUAAAUGCAUCAGGGAGGUUCAAGAACUGUUUCAGAUGAAGUACGGUGCUGGUGCAAGAGGAGAUGGAUAUAAAGUAGCCUUGAAUAAAUUUAUAUGGGAAUUAAUCAGAUGCUUAAAAUGUCAGAAAAGAGCUUCAGAAACUGAAUUUCUGAAGGAGUAUUGGGAGUUAAAUUUAGUCCAUUUACAAAAGAAAGGAGUUCAUUUGAAGAAGAGAUUAUAUCACAUAAUACUUAUGGUUGCUCAGGAUUGGGUUCCCUUUGAUAGCCAAGAAGAUGCCGUGCAGUAUCAUAAGCUCCCUCCUGGUGUAUGACUACAUUCCCAUAUUGUGAUUCUGACAUCUCAAUAAUUCUGAUGGGGAGGAAGGAAAAGAGUGAUCACUAGCACAAGUUUCUAUUAGUACUGGCCUCCAAACCUGAGUGUCAAUAAGUAAUAACAGAUUCAGGUUUUGGGGGAAAUCUUGAACUACGCCUUUGCCAGCAUGUCCUAGAACUCUGAUUUUAAUGGUUGACAUACCUAUAGCAUUAGCAUUUGCUGACAUUGUUUAGUUAUCUGGAAUCACACUCAAUUCCAGGUUAAACACUAAUAAAAAUAAUAUAAAAACCUUGUAAAAUCUCAGAUAGCUGAGAAGGUCACAAAAGUUUCUGCACAUCUGCUUUACAGUACAAGUAUCAAAUACCUGGCUGUCAAAUUUUUCUUGCUUUCAAAAGUGACAACUACCCAGCUGACACAACUUUAGAAGUUCUGGGUUGAAGUUCCAGCACACCCAUAGGUGAUGAGUGCAAAUUCCACAUUUUCUCUCUAUUGUACUCUCUUUCCAGCCACAUUUCUUAGGGUCUUUAGCCAAAGCAGACUUCUCCUUUGGCUUUACUGAAAAUGUCAUGUUUGUGGUCUUUACCCCUUUGGUUGUGAAAAAACCAAAUGUCCUUUAGAACAGCUAAGCACAGUUUUCUACCUGCUUGGGAAACCCCAGGUUUCCCAAUCUCCUCCUAUGCUGGAGAUCAAUAAAUUAGGAGUGACUUGUUAGCAUAUAAUAGGAAAUAAAGCUAUUUGCUACCACAGGAGAUUACAUUAAUGCUUUGGCUCCAAAAUACACAGAAAACUAUUUUUUUGCAUAAAUAUCUUCACUGCCAACAAUUUCUUGAACAUGCAGCUGGAUGGGAUUUGAACACUGCUAUUUUGAUCAAGACAAUGUGACAACACCUUUGAGCUAAUAAUGUAUUUGGGGGGAAUCUCAGCGCCUGAGAGUUUUAAUGAAAAAGAAAAAAAGUGUUAUAAACUUCUUUUGUAUUUAAGUUAUUAAAUAUGUUAAAGAUGUUUUUGAUUACUGUCUAUGUCAGAUAGAAAUGAAUGGAUAUUUGUUAUUUAAAUAAAACUUUGUAAUAACUCUCAAGUUCUGUAGACACAGAGAAAACAAUCCAUUUCACUGUAAAAAAUGUAAACCUCCUUUGGCUUGAGUACUGGUUUAAUGCUACUUUUUCUACCUAAAAUAUAACUUAUCUAUUCAAAACUGUGAAGAACUGGAUCUACUACAAGUGUUACUGCAUAUAGAAACUUUAAGAAGUCAGUAUUUUCAGGAUACAGGAAACUAGAACCUUAAGGAGGGAGUUUGAUUUUGUGCUAUUUGCUUUCUACCUUAUGCUCUGAAGAGUCCAACUGGAGUUAUCCUGUGUAUCCAUCCAUCCAUCUAUCCAUCAGGUACUUUCAAACUGCUUUGCUCCAGAGAAGCCUGGUUUCAUUUGGCAUUUGUUUUACUUUCAAAUUUG